CCUGAGCUGAAACCAAGACUCGACGCCUACCCGCCUGCGCCCCGCACCGCACGCAGCCCUGCUGGGGCAUUUCUGCUAACCCCACCCAGGUUAGAGAAGGAGAGGCAGCUUGGGACCGGACCUGCGGAGCCGCGUGGAGAAGGCGCUCGUGUGGGCUCGGGGAGCAGCCGGGGGUGAAGCGCCGUUGCUUUUCCAGCAGGCGGUCUGGGGUGGGUCCCCUCCGUGACCACAUAUGGACACAGACAAGACACAGCGUCGUCCAGGCGCAGGAGACCCACGGCGCACGGUCCUGCUUACUGACAGCUUUCCUGCCUCUGGCCUGUCCUCCUUCCAAAGAAGAGGUGUUGAGACACCCAGGCCCAGGUCACCCACUUUCCUGCCGGCAUGCAAUCCAGAGUGCCUUCCCCAGUUCACCCGAGUGAGCCCAGCCCUCUCACAGGUCCUCUCUAGCACUAGUCCUGUGACCCCCGUCGCCUGCCCAUCGUGACCUGUCCAUCGCCAGGGGUCCCCUCAGCACAGUGAGCGGCCAUCGUCACAUCCAUUCUCGUUUUCAAGAUGAAGAGACACAAAGUGUGCACACCUCCAUCACACUCCUUGCCAAGGAACAUGGCCGUGCUGCACAGAGUCAUGCUGGGAGGCUGGCCCAGGACACCUACUUGCGGAACACCCAGGCCAGCACCCCAACCCGGGCCAGGUACACCAUAGGUCAACUGUGGAGUCAGUGAAUGAGCUUCAUGUCCCAGAGCCAGGGACAGAGCGUUAAGACUUCAGGACCACGGCUCAGUCUCAGUGCUAGUGGGAAAUCGUCCUGGGAGUGUGGACAGCAAAACUCAAAGCCCAGGAGACUGCGCAGAGGCAGGUCAGGGGGACCAACAGGAAGGAAGACACACACAGAGU